rnacentral:rRNA from 1 species
CCUACGGGAGGCAGCAGUGGGGAAUAUUGCGCAAUGGGCGAAAGCCUGACGCAGCGACGCCGCGUGAGGGAUGAAGGUCUUCGGAUCGUAAACCUCUGUCAGCAGGGAAGAACGGUCACGGUGCUAAGCAGCAGUGAAUGGACGGUACCGGCAAAGGAAGCACCGGCUAACGCCGUGCCCGCAGCCGCGGUAAUACGGAGGGUGCGCGCGUUAAUCGGAAUUACGGGGCGUAAAGCGCUCGUAGGCGGUAUGUCAAGUCAAGGGUGAAAUCCCCGCGCUCAACGUGGGAACUUCCUUUGAAACUGGCAAACUGGCGUGUGUGAGAGGAUAGUGGAAUUCCAGGUGUAGGCG